AUUGAACGCUGGCGGCAGGCCUAACACAUGCAAGUCGAGCGGGGUUUUCGGACCUAGCGGCGGACGGGUGAGUAAUGCGUAGGAAGCUGCCCGAUAGAGGGGGAUACCAGUUGGAAACGACUGUUAAUACCGCAUAAUGUCUACGGACCAAAGUGUGGGACCUUCGGGCCACAUGCUAUCGGAUGCGCCCACGUGGGAUUAGCUAGUUGGUGAGGUAAUGGCUCACCAAGGCGACGAUCUCUCGCUGGUUUGAGAGGAUGAUCAGCCACACUGGAACUGAGACACGGUCCAGACUCCGACGGGAGGCAGCAGUGGGGAAUAUUGGACAAUGGGCGCAAGCCUGAUCCAGCCAUGCCGCGUGUGUGAAGAAGGCCUUCGGGUUGUAAAGCACUUUCAGCGAGGAGGAAGGGUGGUGUGUUAAUAGCACAUCAUUUUGACGUUACUCGCAGAAGAAGCACCGGCUAACUCUGUGCCAGCCGCCGCAGUAAAAC
rnacentral:rRNA from 1 species